ACGACCUUACUUGAACAGGUUCUGUUCUAUAGGCUCGUACCUCUGUAUCCUUGAUUUCUAAGGAGACAGUCCCUCUAAACUUGGUUGAUGAAUCAUACCCGUGCGAUCUGAGUGUGACUAAUGGCUACGACUGUCCUCGGACUCUCCGCGCUGUAGAGGAUCGCUAUUCGGCUAGGUCUGACCUCUCCGGAGUGGUUGCACGGUUGUCUGACAGGCC
rnacentral:snoRNA from 1 species